GUGCUCACUUCGGCAGCACAUAUACUAAAAUUGAUACGAUACAGAGAUCAGCAAGGCCCCUGUGAAAAGAUGACACACAAAUUCAUGAAACGUUCCUUAUUUAA
ensembl:snRNA U6 U6 spliceosomal RNA